AACGCGAAGAACCUUACCAGGUCUUGAGAUCCCAUUGACAAGGUAGUAAAGUACCUGUCCCUUCGGGGCAAUGGAGACAGGUGGUGCAUGGUUGUCGUCAGCUCGUGUCAUGAGAUGUUGGGUCAAGUCCCGCAACGAGCGCAACCCUUGUCAUUAGUAGCCAGCAAGUAAAGUUGGGCACUCUAAUGAGACUGCCGGGGACAACCCGGAGGAAGGUGGGGAUGACGUCAAAUCAUCAUGCCCCUUAUGACCUGGGCUACACACGUGCUACAAUGGCGUACACAAAGAGAAGCGAUUGGGUGACCAUGAGCAAAUCUCAAAAAAGACGUCUCAGUUCGGACUGUAGUCUGCAACCCGACUGCACGAAGCUGGAAUCGCUAGUAAUCGCAGAUCAGAAUGCUGCGGUGAAUACGUUCCCGGGUCUUGUACACACCG
rnacentral:rRNA from 1 species